GACGGACAGAUGUUAACUCUGUGACAAACUGGAAUGUUCCUUUGGUCUGGGAGGGGACUUUUGAUCCUUUGGUUAUAGAUGACAUCUAUAAGAAAAUGGACCCAAGGGUAGCUGUUGUGGUUUUUGCUGUUGGCAAAUACACUCGAUUUUUGAAGAAAUUCAUUGAGACUGGAGAAAAGUACUUUCUUGUUGGCUUCAAAGUCACUUACUACAUCCAUACAGACAGAGCAAAUGAAGUCCCUAAGGUUGAGUUGGGAAAAGGCAGGAACAUUACAAUUGUAACUGUACCAAGUGCCACCCGCUGGCAAGAUGUUGUUCUUGGCAGGAUGAAAUGGGCUACCCUCACAAUUGAAAAGACGGUAAAAAAA